UCGGCCGUGGGCGAGGGGGUCGACGCACCCAGCUUCUCGCAGGAGCUGAGGGCGCUGUUCGAGGCGGCCGGCGGGG
rnacentral:tRNA from 1 species